rnacentral:rRNA from 1 species
CUUUUGUGGGGUGCUCGAGUGGCGAACGGGUGAGUAACACGUGAGUAACCUGCCCUUGACUUUGGGAUAACUUCAGGAAACUGGGGCUAAUACCGGAUAGGAGCUCCUGCUGCAUGGUGGGGGUUGGAAAGUUUCGGCGGUUGGGGAUGGACUCGCGGCUUAUCAGCUUGUUGGUGGGGUAGUGGCUUACCAAGGCUUUGACGGGUAGCCGGCCUGAGAGGGUGACCGGCCACAUUGGGACUGAGAUAAGGCCCAG